rnacentral:rRNA from 1 species
UCAUGCAGCCAUAUCACCCUGCAGCCCAAGACUGGUUGCCCACUGAAGCUAAGCAGGGUUGAGCCUGGUCAGUACCUGGAUGGGAGACCUCCUGGGAAAACUAGGUUGCUGCUGGAA